rnacentral:lncRNA from 1 species
GGGGAGGGUUGGGAUUGGGCAGAGGGGGACAGAUGAGAAGACAGUACAAAGGAGGAGACUGAUGGAAAAGCCAUUUUCCAGAGGAAUCGAGAGAAUUGGAAACAGGGUAGAUUUGAGAAACAAAAAAGAGGUUGGCAAGAUUCACUGUGAAGUUUUAAGCUUCCUGGAGAAUGACAGCUUUGACAAACAUAAGAACAUUCAGUGAGAGACGGAACACACGCGAGAGAACGAUCGCAAAAGAAGCUUGUGGCAAAUGGGAGCAUCUUGUGGAUUUAUGGACACAAAGUCAACUGAGCUUUUUAAUACACUUUUUUUG